CGCUUCGGGCGUAUUAGUUGUGGAGCAUAUAAAAACUCCAUGGUUAAUCAUGCUUAAGUGGGAGUAGUACCGGGAUGGGUGACCACCUGGGAAGUCUCUACCUGGGAAAU
rnacentral:rRNA from 1 species